AGUGAACGCUGGCGGUAGGCCUAACACAUGCAAGUCGAACGGCAGCACAGUAAUAGCUUGCUCUUACGGGUGGCGAGUGGCGGACGGGUGAGGAAUACAUCGGAAUCUACUUUUUCGUGGGGGAUAACGUAGGGAAACUUACGCUAAUACCGCAUACGACCUACGGGUGAAAGCAGGGGAUCUUCGGACCUUGCGCGAUUGAAUGAGCCGAUGUCGGAUUAGCUAGUUGGCGGGGUAAAGGCCCACCAAGGCGACGAUCCGUAGCUGGUCUGAGAGGAUGAUCAGCCACACUGGAACUGAGACACAGUCCAGACUCCUACGGGAGGCAGCAGUGGGGAAUAUUGGACAAUGGGCGCAAGCCUGAUCCAGCCAUACCGCGUGGGUGAAGAAGGCCUUCGGGUUGUAAAGCCCUUUUGUUGGGAAAGAAAAGCAGCAGGUUAAUACCCCGCUGUUCUGACGGUACCCAAAGAAUAAGCACCGGCUAACUUCGUG
rnacentral:rRNA from 1 species